GACGAACGCUGGCGGCGUGCCUAACACAUGCAAGUCGAGCGAUGAAGUUCCUUCGGGAACGGAUUAGCGGCGGACGGGUGAGUAUCACGUGGGCAACCUGCCUUAUAGAGGGGAAUAGCCUUCCGAAAGGAAGAUUAAUACCGCAUAAGAUUGUAGCUUCGCAUGAAGUAGCAAUUAAAGGAGCAAUCCACUAUAAGAUGGGCCCGCGGCGCAUUAGCUAGUUGGUGAGGUAACGGCUCACCAAGGCAACGAUGCGCAGCCGACCUGAGAGGGUGAUCGGCCACACUGGGACUGAGACACGGCCCAG
rnacentral:rRNA from 1 species